GUUGCUUUCACAGCUCGCUCACGAAUAAAGCAUGCGUGUGCGACCCUUAUGAUAUUCCGCAAACUUUCAGAUAAAACUACAAGGUAAAAGUCAUCCAUACAUUGUUUUUCGAUAGCAUGCUUAUGAACUGAGAUAGUAGCAAGUGAAUGUAACUCUUUGCAAAUGGUGAAUGCCAUCCCUGGGUACAAUAGUCUAUUUAACCGUAAAAAAUGAUUGGCAAUUAAAUUCAUGAUCACAGUAUGGCAAUUAGGCGUUAAACUGGCUUGGUAGAAUUAUUGAUGCAUAUCGAUUUUCGCAGUUGUUGAUUUUUAUUAUUGACAUUUUGAAACUUAAUUAUUUACAGCAAUAAAACAUCUUGAUUGCCAAGGCACUGUUUUCUAGAAUUUGUUAAAAAUAUAUAAUGGAAAACAUACUAAGAUACAUAAUUAAGUAUGCUCUGAUUCAUAUAGAUGAAUAUAACAUCACAAGGAUGUUGCGCAGGCUCCACCUUCUGCGCUUUUUCAGUCGUAUAGCAGUCUGAAAAUCGGUUUUAUUGUUUCAAACCAAAACUUUGUAACUGGUCAUACUGGAAACGAAAUAAUUUCUAUAAGACAUGUUGUGUUACUUGGGGAGACCUGAUGACGAGAAAGAAGCGUUCUACGCGCAGUUAGAGCAAACAUACGAUGGUUACCCGCCGCGUGACGUGAAAACCGUUGUCGUAUAGCAGUCUGAAAAUCGGUUUUAUUGUUUCAAACCAAAACUUUGUAACUGGUCAUACUGGAGUCGAAAUAAUUUCGUUACAAACAUACAUAUAUUAGUGAAUAUACAAGUAGUUUGAAUAAAUAAACACAAAUAAAUAAACACAUUAUUAUAAGCAAAUAAGUUGAGGGAAAUGUUUGGCCUGAAUAUCCUAAACGCCAAACGUACAACAAGUAUAUAAGUAAUUCUGAGUGUGCUCAAGUUUUGUUGAAAUGUGCCAUUAAUAAAUAUUAGAAUUGUGUUAAGUUUUAAAUUUUAGGUGUCUGUCAAGAAAAGAUUCUAGGGGGUGUAAAAUUUAGGACUUGAAUUCUCAUCGGAGUGUAAGAACGCAGUGAGCCACUGGCUGCGCGCAUUCAAUACAAACGAAUGUGCUGCGUACGGAUACUCAUUUUCACGGAUCUUCUGCUCUUUGAGCCGUAAUGUAUCUGUUUCACUCAAAGAGUAAAGGACACAUGAUGAACGCAUACUCAAUGCGCUGCUCAUUGCGCAGUUGGUAUGAUAGAAAUCACAGAUAAACGAAAGUAACACUAACGAAAUUUUCUUCCUAUAUAUCUCAGGAUCCUGAUAACUUACAGAGUUGGUGUUUUCGGCAUAAUUAUUAGGCUGGUCAAGGACCUACUGGUAAUGGGUAGUUUGAUUCGGAAUUCUUCCAUUAGGUGGCGCUAGUGAUCGAACAUUUUUUUCAUAUAUCUCAGGACUCUGAUCACUUAGAAAGAUGAUAUCUUUGGCAUUGUUGUUUGGUAGGUCAAGGGCUUACAGUUCAUGGACAAUUUGUUUCGGAAUGUUGCCACUAGGCAACGCUAGUAACACAUUUGCAAGAUUAUGCAAAUGAUUGAUUUUUUCAUUCAGUAUUCAGCAUGCUGUAAUUUUGUUUUCUUUGAACAUAUUCAAGUCAAGUCAAAUGUUUUACAAAGACCAAUACAUAUGUUAGCCGUAAAUGUGCGAAAUUUCAUUUCAUUCGGUUCGCUAAACUCUGAGAUA